rnacentral:lncRNA from 1 species
GGAGUUUUCGGGAGCCGGGGCGAGUAGGAGCCACCGGGUGGCCGGGGCGGGGGCGGGGGCAGGGACGCCCGCUUCCACUCAACCAGCUCGGAUUACACCCCCGCCGCCGGGAGGGGAAGGAAGUUGCUGGGCGGAAGGUGAACAACCCAGGCCGCUUCCUCAAGGCCCAGUACCAGAGAUCGAACUCAGGACCUUGAGGAGCAGGCAUCAGAACCACUGAGCUAAGUCCCCACCCUUGUCCUGCUUAGUUUUAAACACAUAAUUGGACAUCUCUCAGACGGCUGUCCUGGCUGGGACUCUUAGUGAGGACAGGCAGUUCGGAUCCUGAGACGGGGAGCAGGCGCGGCGCGGCCACUCUCCCACCGGAGCCCUGGUCCAGACUCGGACCGCUAGGCCACCCUGUGCCCAUGGACAGCACCAGCCUCGCACAGCACAAGUGUGUCAGGCUCCUGGCACACCUGUCACCCCCUCCCCGGUUCUCAAGUCCUGUGUGCCUGGCCGUGGGCCCAGGUCACCGUCCCUGAGCUCUGGUGACAGCUGCGCCUGACACCAGCUGACCAAGUCCCGGUCUACCGUCCCCACCAGGGCCUGGAUUCCUAGUCUCCUCUGGCAGGGCUGGCCCUGUGCCCCAGGUGGCUGAGGUCCUGAGGCCACACCUCCCACGGCAUCUCGGGCGCAGGUCUUUGUCCGGGCACAGGCGGGGGGCGGGUGCCCGUUUUCGGGACGGCAUAGGCUCUGUGGUCACCUGGCUGGCCAGGGCCGCGCGCCAAAACCACUCAGCCGAAGCCUCUCCCCGCGCCUGGGCGGAGCAGGGCCGGAGGCCUGGGCGUGGCCAGGUCACAAGCUACCUCCCCCCACCCCACCCGCGACUCCCAGCUUCCACCGGAAGGAAGUAGGGGCGAGGCUGGAGCACACCCUUCCCACUUUGCUGAUGAAGACAGGCCCAGCUGGGAACCAGCCCUCCCCAUUGUUUUGGUUUUGAGACUGGGCUUCACUACGUAGGUAGUGCAGGCUGGCCUCAAACACGUGAUCCUCCUGCCUCAGCCUCCUGAAUGAUGGGUCACAGGCAUGCGCCACCAGGCCUGGCUUCUCUUUGAAUCUUCAUCGUGG